rnacentral:rRNA from 1 species
GCCAGCAGCCAGAUCACCCUGCAGCUCACACCUGGCAUCUUACUGAAGUUCAGCAGGUGUGAGCCUGGUCAGUACCUGGAUAGGAGACCUCCUGGGAAAAAAGGUUGCUGCUGGAA